GCAAACGGGCGGAGACGAACAAGUGAAAGGUUUUUAGACGUCAUUUCACCCCGAUGACACCAUGGAUGAGGAGAUGCUGAUUCUAGAAGUCUAGAAGUAGAUUUCCUCCUCUGGAAGGACACAAUCUACUGCUUAUAUGUCUAUGUGUCUGUCUUUAGAGAGACGACUCGUGAUCGUGGGAUUGAACGUGAAUCUGCGGGUUCUUGUGAGUUCUCGUUAUUCCCGAUGUUUGUAAUCCACCACAAAAUUCUCCUCACAAAUGGUUCCGGUAGGAAUCGGCGGUCGGUGAAAAUCGCCGCCGUUCAGGAUGCGGUGAAAAGUGGGGGUUACCGGGAUAUAAAAAAAUGACCUCUGACUCCACAGCUGGUUCCGUUUCCAUGGUUACAGGUUUCUGCUGAGACGGUUUGUUAAAUCUGGUUUCUAAAAGGUCGUUAAUCUCUCACCUGCAUGAACUCGUCUCUUCUUCUUCUACUCAGGUUUUAUUGACUCCUAAUGUUAUUGAUCUUCUUUUUCAAUGAUGUGAUUUCUAUUGAAAUCUGACACCUGCCAAUAAGAGUGUUCUCCUCCUCCUCCUCCUCAGUGUACCGACAGUCUGUGGUGUAAUAAUGAUGAUUCCUAUCGUUUGUUCAGAGAAUAAAAACUGUGUCAUGAAAAACCCGAA